AUGCGGUGAUGUUUGAAUUUCUUCACCUGAAACUUACUUUGAUGCUUUUGAGCUUUUUAACCCUGAGCAUU